rnacentral:rRNA from 1 species
GACGAACGCUGGCGGCGUGCUUAACACAUGCAAGUCGAACGGAAAGGCCCUGCUUUUGUGGGGUGCUCGAGUGGCGAACGGGUGAGUAACACGUGAGUAACCUGCCCUUGACUUUGGGAUAACUUCAGGAAACUGGGGCUAAUACCGGAUAGGAGCUCCUGCUGCAUGGUGGGGGUUGGAAAGUUUCGGCGGUUGGGGAUGGACUCGCGGCUUAUCAGCUUGUUGGUGGGGUAGUGGCUUACCAAGGCUUUGACGGGUAGCCGGCCUGAGAGGGAGACCGGCCCCAUUGGCCUAGGGAAGGGGCCCAUGCGCAUAUGGGGGGAAGGGGGGGGAAAUUGAGCCAAAAGGGCGGAGGGCGUGAAGAAGACCGCCGGGUGGGGAAGGACGGCUGUCGGGUUAGAAACCCUUUUCCCUUGUGACGAAGGGGGAUGAGGGGAAAGGGAUAAAAAAGCCCGGGUAAAUAAGUG